rnacentral:rRNA from 1 species
UACGUAGGGUGCGAGCGUUAAUCGGAAUUACUGGGCGUAAAGCGUGCGCAGGCGGUUUUUUAAGACAGGCGUGAAAUCCCCCGGGCUUAACCUGGGAACGGCGCUUGUGACUGGAAGGCUAGAGUACGGCAGAGGGGGGUGGAAUUCCACGUGUAGCAGUGAAAUGCGUAGAGAUGUGGAGGAACACCGAUGGCGAAGGCAGCCCCCUGGGCCGAUACUGACGCCUCAUGCACGAAAGCGUGGGGAGCAAACAGG